UAUGUACUUACUAUUUUUUUACAGUUUAAAAAAAAAAUGACAUGUCAAGAUUGUUUUCCCUUUGUCUAAUGCUAAAAAAAAACCUGGCAAGUGCGAGUCGGACUCGCGCACGAAGGGUUCCGUACCAUAAUGCAAAAAAAAACAAAAAAAAAGCAAAAAAAAAACGGUCACCCAUCCAAAUACUGACCACUCCCGACGUUGCUUAACUUUGGUCAAAAAUCACGUUUGUUGUAUGGGAGCCCCAUUUAAAUCUUUAUUUUAUUCUGUUUUUAGUAUUUGUUGUUAUAGCGGCAACAGAAAUACAUCAUCUGUGAAAAUUUCAACUGUCUAGCUAUCACGGUUCGUGAGAUACAGCCUGGUGACAGACGGACGGACGGACGGACGGACGGACGGACAGCGAAGUCUUAGUAAUAGGGUCCCGUUUUACCCUUUGGGUACGGAACCCUAAAAACGAGGUAUAGCCGCGUCUAUAUAAUCGAAGUUACUUGUAAUUUCGAGCGAUAGAGAGGCAGAUAAUGGUUAUAGAAUUUUUAAUGUUGAUGGUAGACCUUCAUUGAAAUUUACAACUCUAAACUGCGCCUCUGAAUGAUCUGAUGAAAGUGGUGUCAGCGGCAAUUAUGUGCAAGUAUAUUAUUUGAUGUGCAAGCCCUUCUAGCCUCCUAUAGCCCAAGGUCCUACCUAUGGUACCUUUUCAGUUCGAUGAAAUUUAAAUAUUCAAACAAAUAAAAAUCAACCCUAUUACCUGCACUAUAGGUUCAAAAUUUCAUUGGAAAAUUUUGGUUUUGGCAUUUGUAUGGCUGGGCCAUAGGUGGCUAGCAGCUACUUAUGUUUCCACGACCAGUCUGACCAAAAGAGACGGUUGUAUGGUAUGAGUGAGAUAGAAAUAAUUGUCAUUGCGUCCUUUUUGGUCAGUUAAGAUGUUAGGAUUACGAUUUAAAUUGUCAGUAAAACUAAGAAAGUAGGUCACACGCACAUUGACGUUAUUAGUGUUAUUACAUAUACCACUACACCUUAUAAAACAAAGUCGCCCGCCGCGUCUGUCUGUUUGUGUGUUUCUUCGCGAUAAACUCAAAAACUACUGAACGGAUUUUGAGGCGGUUUCCACUUAUCAAUAGAGUGAUUCUCGAGGUUUAGGUGUAUGUAUGAUUUGUUAUACGUUGCAUGCAUAGCACGUUGAUGGGCUCUUAAAUAUGACAUCUAAGUGUUUUACCCUAUAGGAUAUCCCAUCCCAUACGGACCUUAAAUAAAGAUUCUAAAUGUAUAUGGGCUCUGAUUAUUGUCUAUGGUAACUUAAAUAUUUAUAAAAAAAAAUCACAGACCACAGGUAAUAAUUAGAUCCCGCGUGAUAUAGCCCUGUAUCUGCUAAUAAAGUGACGCCAUGGUAUUAAGUUGUAUAAAGUGUAAAUAAUUAUUGACUAAGUACAUUAUAACCCCCUUAUUCAUAAAACUUUACGGGCCUGAUUUGGUUAAAUUAUGUUUUAUCCCUUUCUUACUAAUACAUAAGUCAAAAUGACAGAAAAGGACAAACGAUUAUCAGCUAAUUGUGGUUUGUAGCGCGUUUAUGAAUAAGGGGGUUAAACUUUUUUUUUUUAAGUAUAUUCAUUUGAUAUAACGACAACAUGACGAGGGUAUUAUUGUAACACAAAAUGUAUUUAGGUUUUUUUUUAUGACGAGGUGCUUGUUUAAUUUUAAGUAAAUUCGAAGUUUGAAAAGGCUCAAUUAUAUUAAAAUUAUUAUACAUGCGCUCUCAAAAUAGUUUACAAGAAAAACGAUCAAACUUGAUCCUUUGUAUUAGAACAAAUUAAAUUAUUUUCAGUAAAUAUUUUAAUUUUUUUAUUUUUUCCAAGUAGAAACACUGCUACAUAUAUGUAUGUAUAAAUUAUAAACUGAAAUAAAAGUCAUAUACUAAGAAAAAGUGACCAAGGUCUCCAGUGCCCAGGCUGGAAUCGAACCAGCGUCCUCUGCUAUCGCGGCAGGUGCCUAUGCCAUUCGGCCACCAGGCCACAGCGGCAUAGGUGAAUUUUUCCAUGUAUAAGCACUUCGUGGCACCCCUAAGGUAGAACAGUAUGGUUCGACCGUUCUUUUUCUUAGUAUAUGUAUAUGACAUUUAUUUCAUUUUAAAAUUUGAUCCUUUCUUGUAGCGUUAGUGAAUUAUUUAAGGUCCAUCCUAAAUGUAUGAUAUGAAAACACAAUAUUGUUCUAAGUCAUAAUGCAACAAUAACGGUAUUUCAAUUGAUAUGUAAAUGAGAGCUAACAGUGAAUGAGACAAAAACAUCGACGGGUGUCCGCUAGCAGGCGCGGGUGGGUUCACGAAGCGGGCGCACGCACGCGGGUAUAGUUGUUCGACUUGUAACUGACCCACAACGGCUAAUCCUUUGUCUAUUGUUAAGUAAAACCGCACGUGCCAUUACCUGCAAAAAGAGGGUCGUAUAGAUUCUAAUAGGCACCUGAGCGCGGGCUAGGUGCGCUCUCCGAUAACGCGCCUUUGUUACGCAUCUCGAUCACACAUUUUAGAUUGGUUCUGUAGCGCUCGACUCAGUAAUUACUUAUUCUGUGGUAGAGGGGCAAUGAAAUGGCAUAUUAUUUUUCCAUUUAUUGCAAUUUCCAUAGUACAGUUGUAAUUCAAUAACCGGUUAAAGUGACCGGUGCAGGUCAGGCACGUGCGGUUUUACUUAACAAUAGAUAAAGGAUUAGCCGUUCUGGGCCAGUUACAAAUCGAGCAACUAUACCAUUGUAAGUAAAAUCCGUCGCACGGGUCCGCGCCUGCGCCCAUAUUGCUUAUCGAGCUCCAUGCAACCGCGUCAGCUACCCCGCUAGCGGACGACUUGUUUCCACUUAAAUAUUCUGUUUGUUCCUACAUAAGCUCUGGUCAUUUUUUCUUGAUUGGGUAAUAUGCUUAAUUAAUGUUUUUGUCACUGAGGUAGGCGGUCAUGCUAUUGGCACAUUAGCUUUGUUUUAAACUGAAAAUUUCUCAAACAAGCGCCCUGAAGUGCCAACUAGUGAAUAUUUAUAAGUUUAUGCUUUACAUUAUUUGAAGCGGACUGAACUGACUGGCUUAUUACAUUUUGAUUCUUCGUGCUUAUAAAGUAAGGUCGAUAUUUGAAUAGGUUAUAUUGUUAAGUUCAUCUCAAAUAAUUUAAAAUGUAUCCUACUCUAUUACAUGCAUUUAUUUUCCUCGUAAAGACUAAUGGACAUAGCAAUUAUAAGUAAACUACUUGUAGUAAUAAAAUAAUCAACGACUUAUGAAGUAAUCGUAAUCCUAAGGAAUUUGACGUCAUCAAGCGCAUUAUUGUGUCAUUCAACUACUUACCUGCUGAACUAAAGUAUUAUAAUUGUAUAUCGACAACGACAUAUAGCCAGAGACAAAUAAAUAAUAGAGAUUUAACUUGCGUUCUUUCGUCAUCAUCACAAGGUGUCGGUGCCGUAUAUUUUAUUGGGCUUCGACGCGACAUUCAAUAUAAAAUAUUUCGAAUAUGUACUCAUUAUCGCCUACACUCACUUUUGUGAACCACCUAUUUUUCUAAUGAUGUUAGGGAGUUGCAGUAGAAAAUAGAAUCAAACGCCGUAACCCGGGUGUACCCAAGUGGAUACAAUGGGUGCUAAUGGGUUAAAUUUGUAUUCCUAAGGGUGGUAUUCUACUUGUCCAAUUUCAUUGCGCAAAGCUCAUUAAGCAAAGUGUGAGACGCAAUACACAUUGCACAAAGAUAUUGGACAAAUGGAAUACCACCCUAAGAAACAAAAUAAAACAACAAUUAAUCACUGAAGCCAAUUAAAAGGGUUGUUGAUACAUACAUUUUUUUACUUGGUGAUUUAAGCAAAGAGUAGUUAAAGUGGCGAUAUCUAAAGCAAUGAUGAGGAACGCAACCUUGUAUUUGUACAGAGGGUGACAAUCUCUAUUAUUUACGUGCAUCUUAUAUUACCAGUCUUUUUUUCUCCGGCUGAUGACCCUGUAUUCCACCUGACCAAUUUCUUUGUCCAGUGUCAGUGCGUCUCACUCUCUCAUUAAAGCAAAAUGUGAGACGCAAUACACAUUGGACAAAGAAAUUGGAUAGGUGUAAUACCACCCUAACAUACAUUAUAGUACUUUUUUUAAGUGACGCACUGUGCUCUUGUACGUAAUCAUUGUGGUUUCGAUGUGAAUUCAUUGCUCAUUGUAAGGUUGUGAUCGUUUGACUGUAGUUGUGUUUAAAUGAAGUGCCUCACACAUGUCAUGUUUAAUUUAUUUGUAUUAAACUGC